rnacentral:rRNA from 1 species
CGGGUGAGUAACGCGUGAGGAACCUGCCUCAAAGAGGGGGACAACAGUUGGAAACGACUGCUAAUACCGCAUAAGCCCACAGGUCGGCAUCGACCAGAGGGAAAAGGAGCAAUCCGCUUUGAGAUGGCCUCGCGUCCGAUUAGCUAGUUGGUGAGGCAAUGGCCCACCAAGGCAACGAUCGGUAGCCGGACUGAGAGGUUGAACGGCCACAUUGGGACUGAGACACGGCCCAG